GAGCUUGAGGUUGACGAGAAUGACCCUUACCUUCUUCAAAUGAAAUACAAGCCAAGUGACUUCCAGGUGGUUGAACUGCUGCCGGGGUCCGGCGUGUACAUACCAGGGAGGACGUUAGCUGGUGCAAUGUUAGCAAAGUCAUCGACUGCAAUGACAAGGUCACUGCUGGUCAGCAUCUUUACGGAGGACGCACUCCAGUUAUGCUCAGUGAAGGGCCGGCGGUAUAACGGAACCCGUGGUCGCGUUGAGGGGGCACGGCACCGCUGUAUCCGAGGGCGAUCGACGCUAUUAUAGGCAAGCGGCCACCUCGUACGCUGUUGGCAUUUCUCCACGGAUUUGGCAUUUGCAGAGUUCACCCAUGCACAUGGCGGCAACCGUGAAGACUGGAAAGCGGCAACCUCUGUUCUUGUGAGGUCGCUUGGGCGAAAACUGAGUGAAUUGCGCGAACGAAAGCAGGACGAUAAUAAAGUCGUUGAGUGACGCCAA